GAAAUGCGAUAAGUAGUGUGAAUUGCAGAAUUCAGUGAAUCAUCGAAUCUUUGAACGCACAUUGCGCCCCUCGGUAUUCCGUGGGGCAUGCCUGUUCGAGCGUCAUCUACACCCUCAAGCUCUGCUUGGUGUUGGGCGUCUGUCCCGCCUCCGCGCGCGGACUCGCCCCAAAUGCAUUGGCAGCGGUUCCGUGCCCCCCUCUUUGCGCAGCACAUUGCCAUUCGAGGCGGCGGCGGCCCGCGUCCAACAAGCUCAACCCCCCCGUCUUUGACCUCGGAUCAGGUAGGGAUACCCGCUGAACUUAAGC
rnacentral:misc_RNA from 1 species